rnacentral:rRNA from 1 species
UACGGGGGGGGCAAGCGUUGUUCGGAAUUACUGGGCGUAAAGGGCUCGUAGGCGGCCAACUAAGUCGGAUGUGAAAUCCCCAGGCUUAACCUGGGAACUGCAUCCGAUACUGGAUGGCUUGAAUCCGGGAGAGGGAUGCAGAAUUCCAGGUGUAGCGGUGAAAUGCGUAGAUAUCUGGAGGAAUACCGGUGGCGAAGGCGGCAUCCUGGACCAACACUGACGCUGAGUGAGCGAAAGCCAGGGGAGCAAACGGG